UCGAGCCCAGUACGGGUCAUAAGAGCGUCACCUUGCCAAGGUGGGGGUCGCGGGUUCGAAUCCCGUCGUUCGCU
rnacentral:tRNA from 1 species